UGGACCAAUGAUGAGGACAUGUCUGUGAGCAAAGGACAGAGAUGAAUCCAGGGCCACCCAAAUCCUGGGGUCCAGC
ensembl:snoRNA